UAAUUCCAGCUCCAAUAGCGUAUAUUAAAGUUGUUGCAGUUAAAAAGCUCGUAGUUGGAUUUCUGACAGCGCAGACCUCCCUCUCCAGGCCCUCUGCUUUCCUUCCUUCUGGGGAGGUUUGUGGGGGGAGAUGGGUGGGAAACGACGCGGUGUCAUCCUCUCGGAGACGUCAUGUGCUCUUAAUUGGGUGUGUGAGCCGGAUCCGGGAUCUUUACUUUGAAAAAAUUAGAGUGUUCAAAGCAGGCCUUCGCUUGAAUACAUUAGCAUGGAAUAAUAGAAUAGGACUUUGGUUCUGUUUUGUUGGUUUAUAGGACCGAAGUAAUGAUUAAUAGGGAUAGUUGGGGGCAUUAGUAUUUAAUUGUCAGAGGUGAAAUUCUUGGAUUUAUGAAAGACUAACAUCUGCGAAAGCAUUUGCCAAGGAUGUUUUCAUUAAUCAAGAACGAAAGUUAGGGGAUCGAAGACGAUCAGAUACCGUCGUAGUCUUAACCAUAAACUAUGCCGACUAGGGAUCGGUGGGUUCAUUUUAUAGGCCCAUCGGCACCUUAUGGGAAACCAAAGUUUUUGGGUUCCGGGGGGAGUAUGGUCGCAAGGCUGAAACUUAAAGGAAUUGACGGAAGGGCACCACCAGGAGUGGAGCCUGCGGCUUAAUUUGACCCAACACGGGAAAACUCACCAGGUCCAGACAUAGGAAGGAUUGACAGAUUGGGAGCUCUUUCUUGAUUCUAUGGUUGGUGGUGCAUGGCCGUUCUUAGUUGGUGGAGUGAUUUGUCUGGUUAAUUCCGUUAACGAACGAAACCUUAACCUGCUAAAUAGAGUUGCGAUUCUCGAAUCGUAGACUACUUCUUAGAGGGACUAUCGGCGUUUAGUCGGUGGAAGUUUGAGGCAAUAACAGGUCUGUGAUGCCCUUAGAUGUUCUGGGCUGCACGCGCGCUACACUGACGAGAGCAACGAGUGUACCUGCUCUGGAAAGAGUGGGCAAUCUUUUGAAAUCUCGUCGUGAUGGGGAUAGAUCUUUGUAAUUAUCGAUCUUGAACGAGGAAUUCCUAGUAAGCGCGAUUCAUCAAAUCGCGUUGAUUACGUCCCUGCCCUUUGUACACACCGCCCGUCGCUACUACCGAUUGAAUGGUUUAGUGAGGCCUCGGGAUUGACAAAUGGGAGUUAGCAAUAACUCCCUAUUGUUCGAGAACUUGGUCAAACUUGAUCAUUUAGAGGAAGUAAAAGUCGUAACAAGGUAGCCGUA
rnacentral:rRNA from 1 species